UGGAUGAUGUGGAUUAAUUCGAUGCAACGCGAAAACCUUACCUACCCUUGACAUGUCCGGAAUCCCGAAGAGAUUUGGGAGUGCUCGCAAGAGAACCGGAACACAGGUGCUGCAUGGCUGUCGUCAGCUCGUGUCGUGAGAUGUUGGGUUAAGUCCCGCAACGAGCGCAACCCUUGUCAUUAGUUGCCAUCAUUUGGUUGGGCACUCUAAUGAGACUGCCGGUGACAAACCGGAGGAAGGUGGGGAUGACGUCAAGUCCUCAUGGCCCUUAUGGGUAGGGCUUCACACGUCAUACAAUGGUCGGUACAGAGGGUUGCCAACCCGCGAGGGGGAGCUAAUCCCACAAAGCCGAUCGUAGUCCGGAUCGCAGUCUGCAACUCGACUGCGUGAAGUCGGAAUCGCUAGUAAUCGUGGAUCAGCAUGUCACGGUGAAUACGUUCCCGGGUCUU
rnacentral:rRNA from 1 species